rnacentral:rRNA from 1 species
CGCGUAGGCGGUUUGCACAGUCAGGCGUGAAAUUCCCGGGCUUAACCUGGGGGCUGCGUUUGAUACUCGCAGACUAGAGGAUGGAAGAGGGUCGUGGAAUUCCCAGUGUAGAGGUGAAAUUCGUAGAUAUUGGGAAGAACACCGGUGGCGAAGGCGGCGACCUGGUCCAUUACUGACGCUGAGGCGCGACAGCGUGGGGAGCAAACA